CAUUAGUUAAAAAAAAUAAUUUUUUAUGCUGCCACUAUGUCAAGCGACACCAAUAUGUAUUUCUGACAAAAUACCCAUAUUUCUUUGGGUAUGCCGGAGAAAAAAAUUUAAUGGUGCCGCCGGCAUGUUAGGCAACACCAAUGGGUUUUAAAUUUUUUUAAGUUGAUCAAAAGGUGUCUGAAAAAAGGAAAAAAAAGGUGAAAAGUACAAAAAAAAAAAAAAGCUAGGGAGCCCGUCUCCUCCGCCGC
rnacentral:lncRNA from 1 species